UAGCAGGUACAGCACUGUGUUCUUGUACAACUUGCACUUUUAAAAAGUGCUUUUUGUUCACGUUCGGGGGGGUCGUGAAGAUUUUACUUGCAAGUAAUUGUACUCGGAAGGGUUAUGAUGACUAUAUAAUAAUCAGACAUAGUACGCUAAGGUAGUAUGUCUAAAGGGAAACAGCCCAGAACAAGAGUUAAUAAGGUUCCAAAAUUAUUGUUAAGUGAAAAUAAGGAAGUUUCAAUGCAAAACGGCCAGGAGAUAGACUUAGAUGCGGCCAUUUUUUAAAGACCUCGUAACAGAGCACUGGUUUAGUAAAUUAUUUUUAUAAUUUAUAUUGAUAAAAGCACCAAAAAUUUAACGGAUCUAAACAAUAUACCGAGACCUUGUCCAUAUUUAUAUAUAUAUCUAAGUUGUAUAUUGUAUUUAUGGGGUAGCGGAACAUUGGGCAAAUCUAAGAUUUUUUCUUUUUAAGACUUAAGAUAAGAUAACCCAAGUGAUAAUGCUGACAUGAGUAACGAUAAAGGGAAUGAACUAUUCCCUCGCCUAAAACUUAUGGUAUUUACUUAAAGUAACGGCCUCUAAGUUUAUGAACCUAAAGGACUAAACGAUGAGAAAA
rnacentral:rRNA from 1 species